UUAUGGCUCAGAACGAACGCUGGCGGCAGGCUUAACACAUGCAAGUUGAACGGGAUUGAUUGGUAGCUUGCUAUUAAUCAUGAGGGUAGCGCACUGGUGAGUAACACGUGGGAACGUACCUAUUGGUGGGGGACAACAGUUGGAAACGACUGCUAAUACCGCAUAAGCCCUGAGGGGGAAAGAUUUAUUGCCGAUAGAUCGGCCCGCGGAAGAUUAGGUAGUAGGUGGGGUAACGGCCUACCUAGCCGACGAUCUAUAGCUGGUCUAAGAGGACGAUCAGCCACAUUGGAACUGAGACACGGUCCAGACUCCUACGGGAGGCAGCAGUGAGGAAUAUUGGGCAAUGGAGGCAACUCUGACCCAGCCAUGCCCGCGUGAGUGAAGAAGGUUUUCGGAUUGUAAAGCUCUUUCAGAUGAGAAGAUGAUGACGGUAUCAUCAGAAGAAGCACCGGCUAACUUCGUGCCAGCCGCCGC
rnacentral:rRNA from 1 species